GCUCUCCUAGCUCAACGGAUAGAGCGUCGGCCUCCGGAGCCGUGUGUCCGGGUUCAAUUCCCGGGGAGAGCG
rnacentral:tRNA from 1 species